AUAGGCUAGGCUAGGCAAGGCUAGGUUAAAAUGGCUAGGCUCGGGUCCGCUUCGCUACGCAGCAAAAAUGUCUCGCGCUGGAGCCAAACGGAGCCGGGACGAGCGGAUCCAACGCUAAGGUAGACUCGGUUCGGUCGGCCCCGGAUCCUCUGCCGCGGGUCUGCUCGCGGGUCCGCUCGCUCGGCCGCGGGUCCUCGAGGCCGACCGCGGGUCUGCUCGCUCGGCCGCGGGUCCGCUCCCUUGCCGCUUUGCUGCAAAUUGUGCCGGAGAGUGCAGCCGACCAGCAGCGGUGCUACCGACAUGAUCCCAUCAAAAUGCUGAUCCAGAACCUCUUGUGCUACAUCAACAGGUACUGUCAAAAAAGGCAUAAAAGCACAUGGUUGAAGCUCUUAAAGAAGAUCUGAGAAAGAGAAAAUGCCCUGAUCCUAACACAGCCCCUCCAUGAUACGGACAGACUCGGAGAAUUACCAGGUAUUGUGAAAAACUGAAGGAGGUUGUGUCAGCAAUGAAGGUUCCUCCUCUCUCACCGGAACCCUCAUGCUCUACAUCAUCCAGUGAUCUUCAGCCUGCUGUAUCAGCACCAGUUGAAAUAGUAAGGGCAGAGGCAGUAUGCACUGAAAAUAUGUUGUACUUUGAGAAACAAUUUUUUAGCCUGGUAUGUGUCAAAGUAACAUUUAUGUAAAUGGCUGGACAAAAGUGAUUGAAGCACAGCAUACAGGCUGACUACAUACAUGGUGCUGUUAAAAAAGAUUAUAAAGAAGUAUUAACCGUGCAGUCAAGGCCCCUCCUAAAACUAGAAAAUUUGACCAUAUUAGUCCAGUUCUAUGAGAACUGCACUGGUUAGCAGUCAAAGUCCGCAUAGACUGUAAAAUUGUCCUGUUAAAGUAAACAGCCCCAUAUGCAUUUCAAAAAGUCUGAAAUUUUUUUCUGUAUUUUAACAUCAAAACAAUCAACAUGAAAUGGACAAUCACCAUAUAUCAUACACUUUAGCUCAAAUAUAAUGGCACUCUUUUCCUUCUGUCAGCCAGUGUAGGUUAACUAGAUUUACCUUAUCUAGCUAGCACUACAUGGCAAAAUAAUUCUUACGCAUUAAUAUAAAUAGCUUGCUGCAAAGCUAGCUAGAUGCACCACUAAAUACACACAAAAUAUGUUACUAUAGUUGGAAAAGUAAUUUUAAAGAAGAAAUCCCUGGAAAAAUCUUAGUAGCCUGUAAAAAUAUCAACCUAGCUGGUUGGAGCUAACUCAUCAGCAGCAAACUACAUAUUUUAUUCAGCAGUUCGAGGUAAAGAGUUUAAAUCUUUUAACAGAAACCCAUAUUAAUAUUAAUUAUUCUACUUUGUCUUAGACAUUGACACAGGCUGCUUAGUUAGACUUACCAGCGUUAGUUAGGUUAACCAGCUAAAGUGCUGACCUUCUUAACCAGAAAUGACUUUUCAAGACCUAAAACAUAAUAUAACUGUAAAUGCACUGACAUCUUGUCUUUACCAUUUCUUAAGUGUUUGGUUUGAUUUGUGUGUUGAAGGCUGUUUUUUAUGUUUAAGUCUGAGAGAAGCAUUUUGUGCAUAUUUUUGUGCACCUUUCUCAUUCCUUAGAGAGAUAAACUGCUUCAAGUGUCAUCUCCCACCUUGGCGUUUAAAUCGUCCAUCAGAAUUUUCAUGUCUCUUUUUGGUGUCCGGUCAAAAAGGGACUGUAAAGAGCUGUAGAAGCCAGCUUUCACCGGCACAUGUCAUGGGUCCCCCUAAAAAGAAGUCUUCCUGUCCAGGCAGUUACUGGGAUGAAGUUGUUGUUGCAAUUUCUGUAGCAAGAGUUUUAGUAAGGUGGGGUUGCUAGCCUGUCACAUAUUAAGUAUACUUAACUAAUGUAUAUUUAAAUGUGAAACCAUUUUUAGAUUAUUACUUUAAAUAUAAAACAAAUUGAAAGAUUUGCUUUUUAUACUAUACUUUAAUCCAACUUAAACAAUUGAAUUGACUUCACUCACAUUCUGAAGCAAACAUGCCUCAAGUGUCACAUAAAGUUAAAUGAGUUAAUUUCUUAUCACAUUCAGGUAAUAAAAUGUACAUUAUUGUCAUGUAAUAUGUAUGUUGUAUGUAUGUAUGUAUCGGUGUAUAAUUAAAAACAUUCUUACAUUCAUCUUUACAUAAACUCUAUCUUUAAAUUAAGUAUUGUAGUAUAAAGUAAGUUUUGUAGCAUUGUAUAUUGUAUUUUUAUGCUUUCAACUUUAAAAUUAAACAGAAAGAAAAUUGGACUAAA